UAACGCGAGCAGGCUAACGGGCCAACUUUUCUUUUCACUUCUUCAUGCUUCUCUCUCUCUCUCUCUCUCUCACACACACACGCGUGCGAAGAGGAAGUGAAGAUGUUUCAUUUUCUCAGAAAGUCAUCAAGACAUGGACACCACGAAGCAGUCACGAGACGAUUCAUGUUUGACCACCAGGGAACUUCAGCAGCAGUUUCGAGAGAUGAAAAGCUCUGAGAUGCAUCCCAAACUUCUCUUCCGCGUGUCAGACUUGCAACAAGACCGAGAAAACGCCUGCUGCACGCAAGUGGAGGUGGCGCUAUUGACCACGGGAACGUUCAGCCCUCGUCAUGUGACGGUGCGGCGGAGCUCCGG